GAUGAACGCCGGCGGUGUGCCUAAUACAUGCAAGUCGAACGCGUUGGCCCAAUUGAUUGAUGGUGCUUGCACCUGAUUGAUUUUGGUCGCCAACGAGUGGCGGACGGGUGAGUAACACGUAGGUAACCUGCCCAGAAGCGGGGGACAACAUUUGGAAACAGAUGCUAAUACCGCAUAACANCGUUGUUCGCAUGAACAACGCUUAAAAGAUGGCUUCUCGCUAUCACUUCUGGAUGGACCUGCGGUGCAUUAGCUUGUUGGUGGGGUAACGGCCUACCAAGGCGAUGAUGCAUAGCCGAGUUGAGAGACUGAUCGGCCACAAUGGGACUGAGACACGGCCCAUACUCCUACGGGAGGCAGCAGUAGGGAAUCUUCCACAAUGGGCGCAAGCCUGAUGGAGCAACACCGCGUGAGUGAAGAAGGGUUUCGGCUCGUAAAGCUCUGUUGUUAAAGAAGAACACGUAUGAGAGUAACUGUUCAUACGUUGACGGUAUUUAACCAGAAAGUCACGGCUAACUACGUGCCAGCAGCCGCGGUAAUACGUAGGUGGCAAGCGUUAUCCGGAUUUAUUGGGCGUAAAGAGAGUGCAGGCGGUUUUCUAAGUCUGAUGUGAAAGCCUUCGGCUUAACCGGAGAAGUGCAUCGGAAACUGGAUAACUUGAGUGCAGAAGAGGGUAGUGGAACUCCAUGUGUAGCGGUGGAAUGCGUAGAUAUAUGGAAGAACACCAGUGGCGAAGGCGGCUACCUGGUCUGCAACUGACGCUGAGACUCGAAAGCAUGGGUAGCGAACAGGAUUAGAUACCCUGGUAGUCCAUGCCGUAAACGAUGAGUGCUAGGUGUUGGAGGGUUUCCGCCCUUCAGUGCCGGAGCUAACGCAUUAAGCACUCCGCCUGGGGAGUACGACCGCAAGGUUGAAACUCAAAGGAAUUGACGGGGGCCCGCACAAGCGGUGGAGCAUGUGGUUUAAUUCGAAGCUACGCGAAGAACCUUACCAGGUCUUGACAUCUUGCGCCAACCCUAGAGAUAGGGCGUUUCCUUCGGGAACGCAAUGACAGGUGGUGCAUGGUCGUCGUCAGCUCGUGUCGUGAGAUGUUGGGUUAAGUCCCGCAACGAGCGCAACCCUUGUUACUAGUUGCCAGCAUUAAGUUGGGCACUCUAGUGAGACUGCCGGUGACAAACCGGAGGAAGGUGGGGACGACGUCAGAUCAUCAUGCCCCUUAUGACCUGGGCUACACACGUGCUACAAUGGACGGUACAACGAGUCGCGAACUCGCGAGGGCAAGCAAAUCUCUUAAAACCGUUCUCAGUUCGGACUGCAGGCUGCAACUCGCCUGCACGAAGUCGGAAUCGCUAGUAAUCGCGGAUCAGCAUGCCGCGGUGAAUACGUUCCCGGGCCUUGUACACACCGCCCGUCACACCAUGAGAGUUUGUAACACCCAAAGUCGGUGGGGUAACCUUUUAGGAGCCAGCCGCCUAAGGUGGGACAGAUGAUUAGGGUGAAG
rnacentral:rRNA from 2 species